rnacentral:rRNA from 1 species
UACGUAGGGUGCAAGCGUUGUCCGGAAUUAUUGGGUGUAAAGAGCUCGUAGGCGGUUCGUCGCGUCGGCUGUGAAAACCCGAGGCUCAACCUCGGGCCUGCAGUCGAUACGGGCGGACUGGAGUUCGGCAGGGGAGACUGGAAUUCCUGGUGUAGCGGUGAAAUGCGCAGAUAUCAGGAGGAACACCGGUGGCGAAGGCGGGUCUCUGGGCCGAUACUGACGCUGAGGAGCGAAAGCGUGGGGAGCGAACAGGA